rnacentral:rRNA from 1 species
UACGUAGGGUGCAAGCGUUGUCCGGAAUUAUUGGGCGUAAAGAGCUCGUAGGCGGUUUGUCGCGUCUGCUGUGAAAUCCGGAGGCUCAACCUCCGGCCUGCAGUGGUACGGGCAGACUAGAGUGCGGUAGGGGAGAUUGGAAUUCCUGGUGUAGCGGUGGAAUGCGCAGAUAUCAGGAGGAACACCGAUGGCGAAGGCAGAUCUCUGGGCCGUAACUGACGCUGAGGAGCGAAAGCAUGGGGAGCGAACAGG